rnacentral:rRNA from 1 species
AGUGAACGCUGGCGGUAGGCCUAACACAUGCAAGUCGAACGGCAGCACAGUAAGAGCUUGCUCUUACGGGUGGCGAGUGGCGGACGGGUGAGGAAUACAGCGGAAUCUACUUUUUCGUGGGGGAGAACGUAGGGAAACUUACGCUAAUACCGCAUACGACCUACGGGUGAAAGCAGGGGAUCUUCGGACCUUGCGCGAUUGAAUGAGCCGAUGUCGGAUUAGCUAGUUGGCGGGGUAAAGGCCCACCAAGGCGACGAUCCGUAGCUGGUCUGAGAGGAUGAUCAGCCACACUGGAACUGAGACACGGUCCAGACUCCUACGGGAGGCAGCAGUGGGGAAUAUUGGACAAUGGGCGCAAGCCUGAUCCAGCCAUACCGCGUGGGUGAAGAAGGCCUUCGGGUUGUAAAGCCCUUUUGUUGGGAAAGAAAAGCAGCAGGUUAAUACCCCGCUGUUCUGACGGUACCCAAAGAAUAAGCACCGGCUAACUUCGUG